GGAACGUUGAAGACGACGACGUUGAUAGGCCGGGUGUGUAAGCGCAGCGAUGCGUUGAGCUAACCGGUACUAAUGAACCGUGAGGCUUAACCUUACAACGCCAAAG
rnacentral:rRNA from 1 species